GCCGGGGUUUCUUUACCAGGUACUGUCAUUAUCAUCCCUGGCGAAAGAGCUUUACGACCCUAGGGCCUUCAUCACUCACGCGGCAUCGCUAGAUCAGGCUUUCGCCCAUUGUCUAAGAUUCCCC
rnacentral:rRNA from 1 species